rnacentral:rRNA from 1 species
UACGUAGGGGGGCAAGCGUUGUCCGGAUUUAUUGGGCGUAAAGAGCGUGUAGGCGGCUUUACAGGUCCGUUGUGAAAACUCGAGGCUCAACCUCGAGACGUCGGUUGAAACCACCUGGCUAGAGUCCGGAAGAGGAGAGUGGAAUUCCCGGUGUAGCGGUGAAAUGCGCAGAUAUCAGGAGGAACACCGAUGGCGAAGGCAGGUCUCUGGGCCAUAACUGACGCUGAGAAGCGAAAGCAUGGGGAGCGAACAGG